rnacentral:rRNA from 1 species
AGCAGCCGCGGUAAUUCCAGCUCCAAUAGCGUAUAUUAAAGUUGUUGCAGUUAAAAAGCUCGUAGUUGAAUUUCGGGAUCAAUACGUCGGUCGUGCCUCUGGUAUGUACUGGUGUUAUUGAUUUCUCCCUUCUGAUGAAUCAUGAUGUCAUUAAUUUGGUGUUGUGUGGAGUCAGGACUGUUACUUUGAAAAAUUAGAGUGUUUAAAGCAGGCUUACGCCUGAAUACAUUAGCAUGGAAUAAUGAAAUAGGACGUUCGAUCCUAUUUUGUUGGUUUCUAGGAUCAACGUAAUGAUUAAUAGGGAUAGUUGGGGGCAUUAGUAUUCAAUUGUCAGAGGUGAAAUUCUUGGAUUUAUUGAAGACUAACUACUGCGAAAGCAUUUGCCAAGGAUGUUUUCAUUAAUCAAGAACGAAAGUUAGGGGAUCGAAGACGAUCAGAUACCGUCGUAGU